rnacentral:rRNA from 1 species
GACGAACGCUGGCGGCGUGCCUAAUGAAUGCGAGUCGAGCGUGAUCCAGUCUUGUGCUUGCACAAGACUGGUGAAAGCGGCGAACGGGUGAGUAACACGUAGGUAACCUGCCCGGCAGACGGGGAUAACAGCUGGAAACGGCUGCUAAUACCCGAUGGUCUGGCGGGACACAAGUUCCGUCAGUAAAGGAGCAAUCCGCUGCCGGAGGGGCCUGCGGGCCAUUAGCUAGUUGGUAGGGUAACGGCCUACCAAGGCGACGAUGGCUAGCCGGUCUGAGAGGAUGGUCGGCCACACUGGGACUGAGACAUGGUCCAGACUCCUACGGGAGUUAGCAUCAGGGAAUCUUGCGCAAUGGGCGAAAGCCUGACGCAGCGACGCCGCGUGAGGGAUGACGGUCUGCGGAUCGUAAACCUCUGUAAGCAGGGAAGAAAGCCUGGCUUCGGCCAGGGGUGACGGUACCUGCAGAGUAAGCCCCGGCUAACUACGUG